UCCAGGCCCUACGGGGUGCAGCAGGCGCGAAACCUCCGCAAUGUGAGAAAUCGCGACGGGGGGAUCCCAAGUGCCAUUCUUAACGGGAUGGCUUUUCAUUAGUGUAAAGAGCUUUUGGAAUAAGAGCUGGGCAAGACCGGUGCCAGCCGCCGCGGUAACACCGGCAGCUCUAGUGGUAGCAGUUUUUAUUGGGCCUAAAGCGUCCGUAGCCGGUUUAAUAAGUCUCUGGUGAAAUCCUGCAGCUUAACUGUGGGAAUUGCUGGAGAUACUAUUAGACUUAAGAUCGGGAGAGGUUAGAGGUACUCCCAGGGUAGAGGUGAAAUUCUGUAAUCCUGGGAGGACCGCCUGUUGCGAAGGCGUCUGACUGGAACGAUUCUGACGGUGAGGGACGAAAGCUAGGGGCGCGAACCGGAUUAGAUACCCGGGUAGUCCUAGCUGUAAACGAUGCGGACUUGGUGUUGGGGUGGCUUUGAGCUGUCCCAGUGCCGAAGGGAAGCUGUUAAGUCCGCCGCCUGGGAAGUACGGUCGCAAGACUGAAACUUAAAGGAAUUGGCCGGGGAGCACCACAACGCGUGGAGCCUGCGGUUUAAUUGGAGUCAACGCCGG
rnacentral:rRNA from 1 species